UACUAAAAAACUAACCAACAGAAGUUCUCACAAAUAUGCAGUGACACCUGGUAGGCAGUAAGACUUCCAGGGCAACAUCUUCAUGAGAACCAUUAACCAAGGGCAAGUUCUAUGAAAAGUGUAUCACAGCUCUUCCUCAAAACAGGAGAGUAAAGUUGUAACCAGGAAGUAGAUGAUAGGAUGACAAACAAGGACUGGCAGGUUUAUGAGCUUCCACAAUGAAGCAAGUACAGGACUUCAGCGCUUGUUCCAACACUUGUUAUAACCACACUGAGUUUAGCUGCAGCAGUAUAUGGUAUAGAAACUGGGAAAGCUGAUCACCUCCUGUCAGCCAGCCUGAUUUGACUGACAGUCAUUGCUUUAAAGCCAGGUGCUGGUAGUAUAUGACACACAAAACCAGCUCUUUUGAACACAUGGUUUCUUCUGUAGACAGGCCUCCAGCAUAAGUACAUACUAAAUGUGUUGGUGGUUUUUUGUUUUUUUUUUUAAUAAUACCUCUCCAUGUAGGGGGAGAGGCUAUUCUGGGACUGUUCAGCCUGGGAAAGAGAUGGCUUGGGGAGAGCUUAUCAGUGGGUAUAAAUGACUGCUGGAAGGCAGUAGCAAACAGAGCCAGACUCUGCUCAGGACAAGACAGGGCAAAAAUACAUUUGUUUUUACCAGUGAGGAUGGUCAAAUAUGAGAACAGGUUGUACAGAGGUAGUGGAGCCUCCAUCAGCGGAAACGCUCAGUUUAAGAAAAGUUUGCUGUAAUGGAUGGAUUCAUCUUCUGAGAGGUGGCUUUACUGGGAUGCUCUCAAUGACUAAACUGCUUUUACUGCUCAUAUUAAAUGCAAUUUGAACAGAACUUUUUGUCUUAAUAAUUUGUAAUAAUUCAUUUAAGUCAUUUAUUUCAGCAUGCCUUGCAGUUGGCCAUGUUAAAGUUUACUUCAUUCUUGAAGCAUGAUUUGUGCUUCCGUAAACAGUUGGUGUGUUUAAAUUUCACAUAGUGAAAAGGGUAACUGAGUAAGCAAAACAAGCCUAUUAAUGAGUGAAAGCACCCUGGCUUAAAGGACAAAACUUCAGAUUGAAACCUUUUAUGCUUUUGAGGGUAAAUGAAUGGGCAGUGCUUGUGAAACCUUGCUACCAAGGUAAUGUGCAGUUAAGCUAUGCUUGGGGGCAAAAGGUAAUUCCUUUGAUUAACUUGGUCUCCAACCUCCAGCCUAAAGGUUAGCAUGAUUUUGGAUGUCUAAUUUGUACAAGAUGCACAGUAAUGUAGAACAGAAGGGUGGAACAAGCCUACCGAGGCACAGGGAUUAACAAGUUCUGAUACACAGAAUCCUUGUGACUGAGCAACAGUAGUAUGGUCAGGUAUACCUUAAGGAAGUAGCUUCUAUGCAAGACUGAAAAGCAGCUAUCUAAUGGCUUAUGAAUGAGCUGGAGCUAGAGUAGUUCCACUUAGUCUAGUGUAGUUCUUGAAGUGCCCCAUGCAGGUUUGUGUGUGUUGGAGAACACACCAUGACUGCCAUGUUUCAUUUCAUUCAUUCACAGUUGCAGAAAGCAACAGUGUCCCAGAUACAAGAAAGUAGAAGCACUGUCUGUAGGUAAUUCCCUCUAAGAUUCCCUUAAAGACAUUAAAAUGUGAACUCUAGAAAUCAACUUUCAGAUGGGUUAGUGCUGUGUCUGGCAGCUGUCAUUCUUCUCAGACCGCAAAGGUUCAGUUAGCAGAGCCUGUUUCUUGCUUCAUUGUCCAGGGGUGGUGCGGUAUCUGCAGGGGCUCUGUCCUGCUCCACAAGUGUUCCCUUCCUUCUUCUGUUCUGUGUCCCACCCUAAAAAUUCACAGAAGCACUUAGUGGCUAAAAGGGUAUCGUUCCUUCUGUACGCACAUGUCAAGGAUGAGGAGGCCCUUCCCCUCACCUCCUUUAAAAAAAUGAUACGCCCACCAGUAGCUUUAUACUGGGUCAGGCUAGUAAGUGCUGAAUCAGUAUUCUAGCAGAUGACUCUUUCUAUGGAGUCCUCUUUUUGUGUUGGGGGAAUUACUUAUACAUACACCCAACAGCUGUGACAUCAAUAAAGGGAAGCUGGUGAUGCAAGGCUAUUUUUCACCUUUAUCACACUUGUUUCUUGUCCACAAUAUUGAGGCUUAUGGAAGAAACAAUGCAUGCGAUAGUGUUUACCAACAUAAGGAUCAUUAUCUGUUGCCAGAGCCACAGGGGAGUCUUCAAUUCACUAGAAAAGGACAAAAACAUCGAAGGUGACUAAUUGUUCUGUCUUAAGGCAUGUCUAUAGUUCCAUGCAGGUUGAGAAGACACUCAUUUCUCUUUACAAUAUUCCACUAAUGUGCUGCUGAUAUGCAUUCCCACCUGGACUUCGUUCUGAGACUGUGCCCAACAAGAAGAUUUGAAAGGCCAACUCCAAUCAUCUGAACAGAAGUUGCAAGCAUUAUAGCUGUUCCUUAAGUUGCUUGGGGGACCACAGGAUGUACAGAUGGCCUGGCAGGAGUAAUGAAAAGAAGAAUUAAAGAGUUAUUAUUUCCAU
rnacentral:lncRNA from 1 species